CCUGGGAACUUUUGUCCUCCUAAUAAUUCCCAGCAAUGUGGACAUUAGAAGGUUACGGACUGUGUGGCAUUUUCACAGAAAGAGCAAAGGGAACCAAUUUAGAAGAUCACUUGCUCUGGAAAAAGUCAGCGGCCAAAUCAUGAAAAUAGUCAUGCAACUCUACAGAGCGGUCCAUGUGGUGGGAAACUGAGGCCUCCUGCCCACAGCCACAUGAGCAAGCCAUCUGGAAAGUGGCUUCUCCAGCCCCUGUCACCUUCAGGUGCCUGCAGCUCAGGCUGACAUCCUGGCUGCAGCCUCAGGAGAGACACUGAACCAGAAGCACCAAGCUAAACUGCGCCUGGGUUCAUAUACUCAAAUGACAUAUUGCACACAUCUUUAGGACAGACUGAAGCUGUGGUUUCCCUGUAGCUGAUGGGGUGACUACAUUAUUAAGAAGACUCUGAUGGAAGUGGCCCAUUCAGUUGUUUCUGGAAAACAGGUGCAAAGGAUCCUAUGGAGACUCCUAGGUGCCCCUGGGAUCAUGGAACCAUGAAGAGGAAGCCCCUUUGUUGGCCAUAUGGGAGAUCACUCUUGGGAUACACAACUGGGUUGUGACAUGAGCAAAGACCGAACCUGUUAUUGAGCUAAGCAUUGCGAUAUGAAGUUGUUGAUUUAUCACAGCAAUUAGUCUACCCUGACUACCUUCAGGAGCCGAGGCCACUAUGCUGUUCUCGCAAAACAAGCCAUCUGGAGGUCAGCGUUCCAGGACUGGAGCAGCAGCCUUAUGAUGUCACCAGGAACCCCCCCCCCACCGCCCCAGCUCCCUCUGUCAU